AUUGAACGCUGGCGGCAGGCUUAACACAUGCAAGUCGAACCAGUGGCGGACGGGUGAGUAAUACAUGGGAAUCUACCAUAUAGAGGGGGAUAACUACGGGAAACGGUAGCUAAUACCGCAUACCAUAGGAUGAGCCCAAGUGGGAUUAGGUAGUAGGUGGGGUAAAGGCUCACAUAGGCGACGAUCUCUAGCUGGUCUGAGAGGAUGAUCAGCAAAACUGGGACUGAGACACGGCCCAGACUCCUACGGGAGGCAGCAGUGGGGAAGAUUGCACAAUGGGCGCAAGCCUGAUGUAGCCAUGCCGCGUGUAUGAAGAAGGCCUUAGGGUUGUAAAGUACUUUCAGCGGGGAGGAGUUACCCGCAGAAGAAGCACCGGCUAACUCCGUGCCAGCAGCGGCGGUAAUAC
rnacentral:rRNA from 1 species